GGUUAAAGAUCCCAUUCCCCAGUAACUUCAGUUUAAAGCCUCUUCCCAGGCUUGUCAAGCCUAUUACUAAAGAUGUUCUUUCCGUUCUCUGUCAGAUUCAGCCCAUAGUAGACCAGUUGUUCCAAGAUAUUCCAAUUUUUGUUAUAUGAUAAUACCAGACUUCCAUACAUUUAUGUCAACCUUAAGUUCCACAUAUCUUACUGCAAAAGCAAUUCUAUAGUCCAUUUUCAAUGCUGACGGAGGAAAAAGAAGGCAGAAACACUUUGCAGCAUCAAAACCCCAAAAUUUUAAGAGGCUAAUGGAAGAGCAGAAAAGAAAAUCUGUUGCUAUGCUCUGCUGGUACCUGGUGCUUCCUUGAGAAAUUCUUGUCCAUGGAUCUCACUUUCUAGAGAGAAGGAAAAACAUUUACAAGAGAGUGGUAAAAAAAACCCCAACCUAAGUACAGAGAUAAAGAUUAUUACUUUUUUUGUUUUGUUUCUGAGUAUGUGCAGACUGGUCUGAAUCAGUGUCCAGGACACCAACCCAGUGUUCAUUGGGUCUGAGCCCAAGGCAGGAGUUGCUGAGCCUGAUGUUGACUUUCAGCUGUCAAUACUGUACUGAGUAGUUUCUGGAGAAGAGUAGUUUAUACUGUAAAGCUGCUGUAUCAGCAGGUUUUAGUGGAAAAGGGACCUGUUCACAUUUAAGAGUAGAGAAGAGGGAAGAAUUGGAAACAACAGAAACAUCCCACUGUGACUCUGAGCGACGUCCAGACAGGAGACCAUUUUCAGCACUAAAGGCCAAGAAGAAAAUGUUAAUAAACAGCUAAAUAUUCUCUGAGCUUCUGUGGUAAUUUUACACCCAGUUGCACUUGCAGCAGGAAAAUCACCAUAAAAAAUAAAUAAUCUGCUUCCUUCCAAGCCUUGGCAAUCCAGACUUGCUCCAAGGAAGAAUACUUUGAGGAAUGAAGCUAUUAAAAGCAGGAAGCCUGGCUGGGGCAUCAAAAUCUACAUCCCAAUUGCAAGGAAUAUAUGACUGGAACAGAGCCAGUAAGAGACCUUCCUUCAGAAGCCCAGUAUGAACUCACUGUAGCAACAGGAUGCAUUCAUUGC